rnacentral:rRNA from 1 species
UACGUAGGGUGCGAGCGUUAAUCGGAAUUACUGGGCGUAAAGCGUGCGCAGGCGGUUCGCUAAGUCAGAUGUGAAAGCCCCGGGCUCAACCUGGGAACUGCAUUUGAAACUGGCGGGCUUGAGUGUGGCAGAGGGGGGUGGAAUUCCGCGUGUAGCAGUGAAAUGCGUAGAGAUGCGGAGGAACACCGAUGGCGAAGGCAGCCCCCUGGGCCAACACUGACGCUCAGGCACGAAAGCGUGGGGAGCAAACAGG